rnacentral:rRNA from 1 species
UUGGAUCAAAGCUCUUCCCGCAUUGUUUUGGGGGACCCGCGUUAGAGUUUGAAUCUGGCUCAGGACGAACGCUGGCGGCGUGCCUAAUACAUGCAAGUGGGACGCAAGGGAACACACUGUGCUUGCACACCGUGUUUUCUUGAGUCGCGAACGGGUGAGUAACGCGUAGGUAACCUGCCUAUUAGCGGGGGAUAACUAUUGGAAACGAUAGCUAAUACCGCAUAAUAUUAAUUAUUGCAUGAUAAUUGAUUGAAAGAUGCAAGCGCAUCACUAGUAGAUGGACCUGCGUUGUAUUAGCUAGUUGGUAAGGUAAGAGCUUACCAAGGCGACGAUACAUAGCCGACCUGAGAGGGUGAUCGGCCACACUGGGACUGAGACACGGCCCAGACUCCUACGGGAGGCAGCAGUAGGGAAUCUUCGGCAAUGGACGAAAGUCUGACCGAGCAACGCCGCGUGAGUGAAGAAGGUUUUCGGAUCGUAAAGUUCUGUUGUAAGUCAAGAACGUGUGUGAGAGUGGAAAGUUCACACAGUGACGGUAGCUUACCAGAAAGGGACGGCUAACUACGUGCCAGCAGCCGCGGUAAUACGUAGGUCCCGAGCGUUGUCCGGAUUUAUUGGGCGUAAAGGGAGCGCAGGCGGUCAGGAAAGUCUGGAGUAAAAGGCUAUGGCUCAACCAUAGUGUGCUCUGGAAACUGUCUGACUUGAGUGCAGAAGGGGAGAGUGGAAUUCCAUGUGUAGCGGUGAAAUGCGUAGAUAUAUGGAGGAACACCAGUGGCGAAAGCGGCUCUCUGGUCUGUCACUGACGCUGAGGCUCGAAAGCGUGGGUAGCGAACAGGAUUAGAUACCCUGGUAGUCCACGCCGUAAACGAUGAGUGCUAGGUGUUAGGCCCUUUCCGGGGCUUAGUGCCGGAGCUAACGCAAUAAGCACUCCGCCUGGGGAGUACGACCGCAAGGUUGAAACUCAAAGGAAUUGACGGGGGCCCGCACAAGCGGUGGAGCAUGUGGUUUAAUUCGAAGCAACGCGAAGAACCUUACCAGGUCUUGACAUCCCGAUGCUAUUCUUAGAGAUAGGAAGUUACUUCGGUACAUCGGAGACAGGUGGUGCAUGGUUGUCGUCAGCUCGUGUCGUGAGAUGUUGGGUUAAGUCCCGCAACGAGCGCAACCCUUAUUGUUAGUUGCCAUCAUUAAGUUGGGCACUCUAGCGAGACUGCCGGUAAUAAACCGGAGGAAGGUGGGGAUGACGUCAAAUCAUCAUGCCCCUUAUGACCUGGGCUACACACGUGCUACAAUGGUCGGUACAACGAGUUGCGAGCCGGUGACGGCAAGCUAAUCUCUGAAAGCCGAUCUCAGUUCGGAUUGGAGGCUGCAACUCGCCUCCAUGAAGUCGGAAUCGCUAGUAAUCGCGGAUCAGCACGCCGCGGUGAAUACGUUCCCGGGCCUUGUACACACCGCCCGUCACACCACGAGAGUUUGUAACACCCGAAGUCGGUGAGGUAACCUUUUAGGGGCCAGCCGCCUAAGGUGGGAUGGAUGAUUGGGGUGAAGUCGUAAGCGAAGGUAACCAGC